AUUUUAUAUUUAUUUAUUUAUUUUUAACAUUUCACCAAUAAAAAAUAAUAAUAAGCUUCAACAAAAAUGUCUCCUCAUAGGUAUCUUCUGCAUGGACAGGAAGAAUCAGUCAAAGCCAGAUUUUUCCAGUGGUUUCUUUGUAGACUACUGCAAAAACCAAGGUGUUUUGGAGGUGUUUAUGUACGUUGAUGAGAUCCCCCUGAGACUGUUCUCCAGGCUGGAGUCCCAGCUAUUUCAACCUCUCCCCAUACAAAAGAUGGCCUAGUUCCUCCCUCGUCUUUGUGACCUUUUGCUGGACUCACUUUAGUAAGUCCAUAUCUUUAUGGUACUAGUAAUCCCAGUAAGUCUAAACAAACUUAAAUAAGUUUAUUCAUUGCUUUCUAAAAUGUUAUAGAAAAGAGAAGUGA
rnacentral:lncRNA from 1 species